UCUAUCUACACCUGUAAAAAUUUUCCACUGACUGAUAAUAACGAAAUGACGUAAAGCGAGGUCAGAUGCUUGCUCAGGAUAUCCCGAGAAAGACCUGACUACCGAGACAGUCGAGUAUGGCCGAUCGCAGAAAUCAGCAAGGGUCAGUGCCAGGGCAAGCGCCAGCAGUGCUCACGAUUGCAGUUACUUCGGCAUAUAAUUCCAUAAACAUUGCGGGUUCCACUUCGUCACCCUUAAGGAAGCCUGGCCAAGUGAUGCUUCUCUUUGGCGUCCGCUGUUGUUGUCAUCGUCGCCGUUGGUGUCUCGUAGUUGUCGUCUGCUAACAUAAACCGGACCGUUAACAUGAUGUUAUGAUCUUGCUAACGUCGACGCCUGCCAACUGCCGAAGACCUAACUGCUACGGUUGUUUACCAUCAGACUGUAAUUUGCGGCGUAGCUAUGAGCGGCAUGAUCACCAUCAACGAUAACAAUAAAGACGAACGAAACCAGCUGCCAACAAGAAUCACUGUCAAACUUAACUCACUAAUACAGUACAACUACAGCCCGUUCUAGAACAACCAAACUGAAUGAUACGCUCUGGCCGCACUAACCCCCCCAGUUUUUCCUGGAUACUGUACCAGCUUUGAGCCGUUGCCACUAGUGCUAUCGUGUCUGCGUCUGACCGCCACGGUUGUAACUGGCACUUCCAAAAUUGAAGUCACAAACCUUUGUCAUUAUGAUUAACUCGAUUAAUGAAGAAGAAUGCCGUUUAUUGUAUUUAUCAAAGAACAACUGAUGAAGUUGAUUGUAGCAAAUGAUGGGAUAGCAGAGCCAAUUUACUUUUGCCAAAGGCCAGUAUCGGACUCCAUUGACCCGCGGAUGUUAAGGGUUAUCGGCUGAUGAAAAACAAACGGUAAGACACCGUGGACAACAACAACAGCAACAGCAGCAGACUGUAUUCAUCUCACACAUAAUCGUCUUUAUCAGUUGUUGACUCAGGACGUGUAGCGUCUGGCCUGAGUCUCCAUCAAGUCUAAGACAGCCCGCAAUAUCAUCGGACGCACUAUAACGGCACAUAGUUGCCGCUCAUCACUUUGACAACGCUACGCAAUCAGCCAGUUUACUUGCUUGCACAUUAUAUAGAUAUAUAUCGCCAACGUGACGUAGAUACUACAAAUUUUCUAUAAAUAGAAUAGGUUACUUGGAGAUACUUGUGUUGGUCACGUAUUACACCCAUCGUUGAGGCGCGACCACAAUUUUCAGCUAUUACGUGAUCUACUUGUAGUCUAAAUGAUGGACCUGGCAGCUAAAGAUCGGUAGCUAACACUUGUUGACUAAUCGCUUAUUCGGGAAUCAAGACUGGAGAACAAAGACUUAGCUAAGGCCGAGAAGACAUUGAUAGCGUGGCUAUCGUACGAGCUAUUCUUGACCGGUCACUUCGCUCCUUCCCGGCCCGCUUCAGAGCGUCCUCUCCGAAGAAGCGAAGUCAUGUCAUCUCGAACACAUCGGACUGUCCAUCCAUUGACAAUUCCAUCCAAGUCUGCGUUAAGUCACUUAAAGAAUCUUACGUAGAAGAUACAAUAAACAGGGCGAUAGACAGACGACAGCAAGGCCUGAUCAUUUGCUUUCAGGAUGGCGGUAGCUGUACGCGAGUUCGACGCUAACGGAGAAAGGAUCGUCUACGAAUGCUAGAAGUUUGUCGUUUCCUGCGCAGCAGAAGCCGUGACGAUGUAAGGCUGAGGUUUGGCUCAUACUCGUCGCCCCCCCCAUGAUAAUGUCACCACCCCAGGGGUGGGAGGGAUACUGUAUCUGAAGCAAGUAUACGAAUGAAAGCCUUGACGAUGCUGCAUCAUAAAAUACGGCAGACCUUAACCACUGCGACUGUAGUAUCAUUGUACACCGCUGCUGCCCGAAUUUAUAGUAAUGCGUGUAUGUAAUGCGCAGACAUUGAUUAGAAAGGGAUUUGUUGAGAAUCAGAUAACAACAGGCGAAGAGGCGGGUUGGUUGUCGACGCGACCUGCAAUGCCGUCAGACUAGCAAUACUUUUUUUUUAAUGUGUAUUUUAUGUAUAUCAAUUUACUCCUCAUGAGUAAAUCAGUCAUCGGGCCGAUCCGCAGCUACGGAUUCUAUGUCAGCUGUAUGACGGCCCUCUGUAUUACGUCCAUGUUUGCAGGUACUUAUGCUAUACGUGUAGAAUCAGCGGCAAAAAAGGAUUUUUUUGCCAAUAUAGGAUUAUAUAGACGCACACCUAUAUUUGAUUCCACGACGACUUUUCUUUCAGCUUUUUUUUUCCAUUUGUUAGGAUAAUUAUAUGAUCAGUUAUCAAAGGUGCUGGAAGAGCAAAGCGUCACGUGUAAAAAUGGCGCCAAAAUUAAAUAUCCAAUCGUGUAAUGCGGGAAGUAAUCGCUGAUAGCCUGUAAAGCACUUGUCUGAAUUAGGUGGGCAGGACGUGAUGCAGGCCAACGAUUGUUGUUCCCGUGAAUAUCAUCCGAUGUGGUCCUGCGUAACAUAUAUAGAACAUGUUAGUGUCGUGUAGUAAGUUCUCGUUGGGCUGAUACUUGAUGCUAUAAAACGAUUCUUUGCGAAGACUGGGGAUCGUCGCUCGACGACUGUGGGUUAUACACAAUCAGUUGAUUCAUUCUGUAUCGUGUCGGCAUAAACUACUAAACUUGAGUAUGUGAUACACAUACACUGGCUUGUGUAGCAGUCUUCAGUUAAAUUGUCUUCAUAUAUUCUAUCUAACA